UAGGGAAUCUUCGGCAAUGGACGAAAGUCUGACCGAGCAACCCCGGGUGAGUGAAGAAGGUUUUCGUAUGGGAAAACUCUGUUGUUAGAGAAGAACAAGGCCGUCAGUAAUUGAACGUCCCCUGACGGUAUCUAACCAGAAAGCAACGACUAACUACGUGCCAGCAGCCGCGGUAAUACGUAGGUGGCAAGCGUUGUCCGGAUUUAUUGGGCGGAAAGCGAGCGCGGGCGGUUUCUUAAGUCUGAUGUGAAAGCCCCCGGCUCAACCGGGGAGGGUCAUUGGAAACUGGGAGACUUGAGUUAAGAAGAGGAGAGUGGAAUUCCAUGUGUAGCGGUGAAAUGCGUAGAUAUAUGGAGGCACACCAGUGGCGAAGGCGGCUCUCUGGUCUGUAACUGACGCUGAGGCUCGAAAGCGUGGGGAGCAAACAGG
rnacentral:rRNA from 1 species